AGGGUAGUAGUUAAUUAUAACAUUUAAUUUGCAUUUAAAAAGUAUUGUCUAAUCAAUCUACCUUA
rnacentral:tRNA from 1 species